AUUUGAAAUAUUUGCUUAGGUUUGUCGAUAUCGGAGUUUAUGGAGUUCCAAAAAGACCAGGGUUUAACGCUGAAGUUGUGACAAGAAAAAUUGAGGAUUUUGUCAGAAAGACGGAUGGAUUCCAGAUGAUGUAUGCUGACUCCUAUAUGACCAAACCUGAGUUUAGGGCCAUGUUUGACCAUUCCCUCUAUGACAGGAUGAGGAAAAGGUUGAAUUGUGAAGGAAAUUUCCCUGAUGUUUUUGACAAAGUGAACAAGAAGGCCAGAAGUUGUUGAACAAUUUUAAUUCCAGGAUAUUCAAUGUAGUUUUACAAGGGGGAUGUACUUUAUAUUUAAAAAUAACCGCAGGAACCUUUAGUAAUAAAGCUAUUGCUUAGCUUAUUACUAGGGGGGGGGGGGGGGCUUGCAAGUUCUUAAUUCAAAUUUUCUUCAAAAACUAUGAGGAGUAAAAUAUGGGAUUCUUUAAUAUAUAAUUAUAUAAACCUUCUAAUAUUCUAAUUUAAAAAAUAUUCAUCAUAAGAUACUAUAUCUAUGAAUAUAGAUUUCCAUAGAUUUAUGCAUCUAACAGUUCUACAAUUUAAUGUAUUUUUAAUCCAAUAUUUAAAUUUUAAAAGAAAUUAAAUAAAUAACACUAGUUUUCUGUAUCCUUCCAUAGAUUUAUGCAUCUACCAGUUCUACAAUUUAAUGAAUUUUCAAUGUAUACAAUAUUUAAAUUUUACAAGAAAAUAAAUAAAUAACACAA